UGCAGACAGAAUGGCGUCAAUGGCGUUAUCUAUGGUGGCAUACUAAAGGGAGAAUUCCUCCGAAGGAAUGUGAGAGUUCAGACUAGGUAUUGUGGAUGAGUGAGGAGCAGAGAGGUCGACAAUCAACCUUUGCCUGGCUGAAUUUUUACCAGAGACCACUUCUAUAGGGUUAGUUCUCCAUACUGAGAAAGGCGAGGAGCGGGUCAAG